UACGUAGGGUGCGAGCGUUGUCCGGAAUUAUUGGGCGUAAAAGAGCUCGUGAGGCGGUCUGUCGCGUCUGCUGUGAAAUCCCGAGGCUCAACCUCGGGCCUGCAGUGGGUACGGGCAGACUAGAGUGCGGUAGGGGAGAUUGGAAUUCCUGGUGUAGCGGUGGAAUGCGCAGAUAUCAGGAGGAACACCGAUGGCGAAGGCAGAUCUCUGGGCCGUAACUGACGCUGAGGAGCGAAAGCGUGGGGAGCGAACAGG
rnacentral:rRNA from 1 species